rnacentral:lncRNA from 1 species
CCUCCGUCCGCCUGGCGGGCGAGCGCCGGGGCGGCCGAGGCGUCGCUUCGGGGCGGGCGGUGGAGCACCUGCUGGCGGCGACGGGCUGAAGGCAGGCAGGCAGGCGGCGGCGGAACGGCUUCGGAGAGGAUUCGCUGGCGGCCGGAGCUGGUGGCGCUUUCUCGGCCGGGGAAGACGGAGUGGCUCUCCGGGGUCCCGCUUCGAGGAACAGAUCUCCCGGCCGCGUUUUCCGGCGAAGCUGUCCCCGGACCUCCCUUCGGAAAGGAGGGGAGUGGCGGCCGGGCAUUUCUAGGACCCGGUGUGACACACCGUUACGAAAAUGUUAAAGUAGUGGAGGUAAUGUUAAGUUUCAAGAUACAGGAAAUAGGCUGUAUUUCUGAUACCGUAAAUUUCUCAAAUCACUUCUGAGACACACAAAAAUAUGAAUAUUCUCUUUCUCACAUGCAACCAAGCAUGUAUUCCCCAUACAGGCUUCAUUUACCCAUUGCACUAAGACAUAGCUUGUUGAUAGUAAGCCUUAAAUUAUAGCUUAGAAAUCACAGUGCCUGGGUUCACACAAUAGGUAAAACUAAACAGGCAAUGUUAUGGCUAAAAUGAUUCUACUCUAUGGGAGAAUGUGUGUGUAAGUGUGUAUGUGAUGGGGAAACUCCCUAGGAAGGUUGCAAACAACAAACCCAGGAUGCUACAACCAGUUUAAUCUAAAGUUUAAUCAUAUGACUGUGGGGAUGCUGCAAUAGUCAUAAGUGUGAGAACUGGUCAUAAGUCAGAUUUUUUCAGAGCUGUUGUAAAUUUGAAUGGUCAUUAAAUGAAUGGUUGUAAGUCAAGGACUACCUGUAAUCCUCCUCCUGAAAAUAUUGAACAUCAGGCAGCUGUCUAAGGUGGUCUGGAGCAGGGCUCUCCAACCUUGGCAGCUUUAAACCUGACGGACUUGAACUCCAGCAAAGGAAUUCUGGGAGUUGAAGUCUGCCAGGCUUAAAGUGGCCAUGGUUGGAGACCCCUGGUCUGUAGGCUAAAGGAGAG